rnacentral:lncRNA from 1 species
GAAAACAUACGCACACAUAAAAAAAACUCCAUCGAUUAUCCAGACAAACUUCAACUACUUUUCUGCGCAACCCAUCCCCCUACCCUGAAAAUCCACUGAACCUCUCUUACCCCUUCAAUCACGUCUGAGUAUCAGUAGCGCCCAGACCUUAUCCCUAUGGAAUCCCCUCAAAUCCUCUAGAAUGCAAGCUCCAAAAUCUCUUUACCUCUGAUAUCUCACAGAGAUUAAGGCUUCAUUGUUGACUGCAGACUCAUGGUUACUUGUUUUGUUGCCCAAAAUCCCAUCUGACUCAGAACCAUCAAUCAAAUUCAGAUUAUUGAGGAUAUAUUUUCAUCUCCUUUCACCUUUGUCAAAUUUGAAUCCCUUCCAUAUCUCAAAGGUUUAAGCUUUGAAAUUCAAAAUUGAUUAUUUUCUUGCUAUAAAUAGCUGCAUCCAAUUUCGUUGAAGACAGAGAAAAACCCAGUUAAAAAACCUCAAGAAAGCCAGUAAACAUUCAUAGCCUUGGAGAUUUAGAAGCUUUUACACAAUCAGAAACUCAAGUUUAAGAUUCAAAAUAGCAUAAACACAACAUAAAUUCAAAGUUCUUCGUGAUUUUCUUUCUUGCCAAUUCAAACCCGAGCUCGAGUUUGGGUUAAAGAGGUUGUGAUCCCACUGAAACCUCGACGUCGGAGCCUCAGUUUUUCUUUCCAACACAAGGUAAAUCAUUUUCCAUCUUAAUUAUGUUAUACUUAAUUUUUGUUAAUUAUUUAGUGUGCAGUUAGCCGGGGUGAUGGCUAUCUGUUUAGAAAGUAUAAAAAAGUGAAACAAAAGUAUUUUUGGGUUUACGAUUACGUGUGUUUGUGACUUGUGAUUUUACUUGAGUAGAUUUUAUCCCAUCCAAUUAUAUUACAUUUAUUUUGGUGAUUCUGGUUUGAGUCUGUCAUUCCCAUUUAUCCGAUCAUGAAUAUAAACAUAAGAUAAAACGGUGUUUGGUCAUCUGAUUUUGUUUAUCAUGUAAUAUGUUAUGACAUAUCUUAAUUCGUGAUUUAGAUUGAAUAAUUUUAAAUAUGAAGUUUUUAUUUGGAAUGGUCUGUUUCCAUUUUGGUUGCCAGUGAAUGCAAAUAUGAACCGGCUAUAUUCCAUGUAAUUAGUUAGGAUAUUAACUGGUGGUUUUGAGCCUGAACACGUGAAGCAAAAAUCUAUUUUCGGCUCUUUGAUUCCCUAAAAUUGGUCAUUUCAUAGGUUUGUUUUGUCUUUAGAUGUGUAAUAAUACGUGGAAUAGAGUUGAUAAUAUGAGAGGUUGUGUUUGGUCGAGAAGUGUAGGACUUAAAAUCCAUCCUCUUAUCCCAUCUCUGCCUCUUUCCAUCCGUCUGUUUUUGUUCUUUGGUACAUGAUCUAUUUUGGCGUCAAGCCAUACUGAUAUUGCUAUCUACUUUCCGGAAAAGCGAGUGUUGGCAAAUCGAGUUCAACAAUACAAUUUAGCCUUGACUGUCCUUUGUUACAAUAUACAGUUGCUUUGCGUCUAAACAUACAAAUUUGCUCUUCCGUCUCACCUUCAUCAUCCUUUCUUUCAUUUUAUUUAGGUUUUGUGAACAUGUUGUUUUGAAAUAAUUUCGAUCAAAAUUUGAGUUGUUGACAUAGACUCUAGAAAACAUGGCUUUUUAUCUGAAUGUGUUUUCUGUGUAUACGUAUGUAUGUCCCUUGACCCGUCAUCGUAUUGUUGUAGAUUACUCGCGAAUAAAAAAUUGAUCAUCUUAAAUUUAUGUGGUUUCGAUGUAUGUGUCUGCUUUAUAUCUAGAAUACGCCAAAUAUAAGGAUUCCAUUUCCCUUUUCGGUGUCUAUCAGUGGAUAUAAGUUGGUGGAGAUAUGGGAAACUAUAUUUUGUUAAUGUGAAAAUCAUCUUAUUUCUCUGUUUCCGGUGAAACUUCGCCGAAACAAGUUGGACCAAGCUGCUAGUUCUCUCUUCUGUUUUUUCUCUGACUGUUCCCCAUCUUAUUCUCUCUCACCUCUCUCAUUUGUUUUCGCACGAUCUCUUUCCACUCACUAUUUUUCUCUCAUUUUCCCUGUUUUUUUUGCGUGUUUUUUUUCUAUUUCAUACUAUUUUCUUUUCUUGCUUUUCUACUGGUUUUGCCUAAGUUUAUUUGUGUGUAUUAGUAUGAGUGGGAAUGGAGGAGUAUGUGGGCGUGUGAGUGUAAUGUGGUAUGUGUUGGCAUAGUUGUGUGCGUGAGUUUUUCUCCAGUGAGUGUGAGUGUUUGUUGGUGAGUGUAUUGUUGUCUUUGUUGAAUUAAGGAGUAAUGUGAAUCACCUAGUUUCGUUUUGUUUGUGACUAUGGGGCUGCUCGUCUUUCAAAAUUCUUUAGAGUGUUUUCCAUCGAUGGACCCAAAAGACGUCUAGGAGUCGGUCUAGCCGAGUCACGUGUUUCCCUUUCAGCCAAUUGCGUUUUAAGGGCAAAUUAACUGUCAUUAUUCAAGUUCAAAAUUUAGUACUUCUUAGACUUGUGUUGUAUAAAUAAGAUAAGUGGUCAGGAGUCUCUUAAAAUUGGUGUUUGAUUCAUAUUUCUACAUGAACAUGUGUUGUCCUUUGUAGUUUUUAUUUUCCUCAAUUUGUGAGUUUCUCUGUUUGGGUCUAGAGCUCUUUAUUUUAUUUUUAGUAGGUAGAAUUAUUUUUUUCUCUGUAGCCAUCCAUAUCAUGUCAAAUAUGUUAUAACUUAUAUGAAUUUGAAAUUUUCUUGGGUGAUAGGUUUUUAAGGAGUCAUGUUGGUAGAAGUGCGUAGGUUGGGUUUUUGAUAUUGGCUUGGCUUUAUUCUUAUUUUUACAUAUAACUAGCAUAAACUUAUAGAUUUUUUUUUCAAAGUGGGCAAUUACUUAAGCAUAAAAUGAGCUAGUUACAUGGGAUGUCUAUAGAGAUCUAUUAUGGUAGCCCAAAAACCAGAGUGUACAUUCGUAGUGUGUGCAUUGUUCCUUGUACGAUAAUAUAUUCAUGCUUUCUGCAAAUUGAUUGCCUACUGUGAGUUAUAUUUUAAGUUUAUGUCUCGUUCUAUAUUUCAUGUUCCAUUCAUUUAAUGGAACUUAAAUCAUUUUUCUAAUCCUUGUCAUUUUGUUUCAUGUAAAUUGGGGAGUUAGAGUUUCAUUCGAAACUCGUCUUGACCCAAAGAUCGGGUCAACAACUACUAGGAUCGUCAGUGCUUGGAGUUCAUAUCGUAGGAGUUGGUUCUUUCAAAGGAAUUUAGCAUGUAUCAUCCUCACUUUUCUUUAUGUUUCUUAUUGUUCGAGUUCACUCCAUUUAUUGUGUUUCAUCGAUAUUGGCUCAAGGUUUGAUUGGAUUUAUUUAGCUUAAUAUUUUUCGAAUUGAUUUCCUUUCGCUAAUUUUUCCUCAACUACUUGGCUAAGUACUAAUGGUGUAUCUUUUAAUAAAUUAUUACACACUUAUUCAUGAUACUUUUGGUACGGAAGAGCAAAUCUCUUUUUAGAAUAAAAGAGCAAAUUUUGGUUUUAAUGGCAGGCCUAAGACGAAGAUCCUUUUCGAAUUGAUUCAAGUAGCCAUGCCAUAAUCUUUACUUUUCUUUAAAUAUCAAUUAUUGGUUUUUCUUAUCAUCUUAAUUGGAUUUUCUUCAAAUAAAUUAUUAAAAUAGGUUUCGAUUAGUGCUAAAGCGGUUUGGAAUCCAUAUUUUUUAAAAAUCUAUUUCGAGUUUUCAAAUCUUAAAGUUUCCAAAAUAUACAGCGUAUAUAUGUUCCUAUACUACCAUAUAUAAGGUAUAUUUUUACUAUUACUAUUUACCACUUUUUUUUUUUAUUCAACCAUUAUUAUUAUUAUUAUUAUUAUGUGCAUACAUAUAUGUAUAUAUGUGUAUAUAUAUUUAUGUGUGUGUAUAUGUAUAUAUAUGUGUGUCUGUAUAUAUAUGUAUAUAUAUGUGUGUAUACAUAUACACACACAUGUACAUAUGUGUAUAUUAUAUACAUAUGUACAUAUGUAUAUAUAUAUACACACAUGUACAUAUGUAUAUAUCAUUAUAUAUGUAAUUCUUUUUAGUUCAAAUCUAUGAGAAUUUCACAAAUAAAACUAUAUUUCUUUUUCACAUUUUUUUCACAUGCUUAUGAAUAUACAUAUUUUGUAGAUAUUCUCACGCGCAUAAAAAAAAAAUACCUUAUAUUUCCUCUGUAUUGAUUUUAGUUAUAUACUUACUUUAUAUUUAAAUAAUUUUUCUUAUAGAAUUAUAAGAUUUCAUAGUUUCUAAUAUAUGUAUCAAUCAUAUUACUUUCGUUUUCCAUAUUUGAAAACACAUACAUAAUUUGCAACAAUUAUAUUACUUCCUUGUAUAUGGUAGCGGUACAUAUACCUCGAGUUUUUUUUUCUUAAAAGAAUUACAAAGAUUUCUUAUCACCAUUUCAGCAAACGAUAAAACAAAUACUUUUUUUUUCUUCUUUCUUUAAAUAUUUUUCUAAACCGAGUGUAAGGACUAUCUUCGAAUAGUCUUUGAGGGAUGCUUAAUACCUUUCACUCGAGUAAUCAAAACCCUUACUCAGAAUCUCAAAAUAUUUUCGAUAGACCAAAAUAGAGUUUAACAUAAAAAUGAUUUUCCUAAUUUUCCUAAAAAAUUAGGUGGCGACUCUAAAAAAGAAUUUUCAAAACCCGAGAGUCACCACGACCACCAUAUGUUGUGUGCUAUUUUGAUCGGUUCAAAAUAGGGCGCGCCAGAAUGGCGACUCUGAUGGGGAUGUAUGAACUUAGGUUUUUACCUUAACACGUUUAGUUUAGGAUUUUCAUGCUCUUAUUGUGUUAUUUGCUUUACAUGUGUUAAUAUCUUGCUUUGUGUGAAAGAACGUAGGGCAAAUCCAAACUUGCAUUCCUUAUUGUCUGAAUAACACUAGUUGUUACUGCUUUAUCACUUGCAUUUUUCCUAUCGAGUCUUGGUCGUACACAAUUCACACACUGAACACGGGAGGGAUGUACUUCACUCUUCCGAACCUUCUUCGAAUUCUUUAGUUUCAUAGUAGGUGCAAUUAGGUUAGUGCGCCUUCUCGCAGCUAUUCAGUUUCACUCUCAAGCAUUUAGAAAAAAAAAUCUUACUCUAGAAAUAGGUCAUAUUACAUACACCUUAGGCAGAACGGUUCGCGGCAUAGUUUUCGCAAUUAGGAAACAACAAUUUAUGUCGACGAGUUCUUCAUAAACCUAACAAUACUAUCUGUGUGAAAUAUAAUUAAUUGAUCCAAAUGUUAAGACCGUAACAGAUUCAGGAUAUUAAACUUACCCUCCUUUUCCUUUGCUGAUGAAAAUAAACCAGAAUUUGGAAAACUUCUAAAUGAUGUCCGAUGUUCCAUGGAUCUUAAGGCAUUGACAGGGGAAUAUUCGGGUGGCCCAUAGAGAAGAAGUGAUGGCGCAUUUGGGAUCAAUGAUAGAUUAAUAGAGCUAAGGAUAAACCAGUUGUUCAUUCGAUUGAUGGUCGAAUUCUGGGAUCCGACCACGGUCACUUUCAGAUUCACAGACUUUGAGAUUACACCCAUUUUGGAAGAUAUCAGUCAACUUGCAAACUUGCCAUUGGUAGGGCGGGAACUUUUGACCCCACGGACUACUUCAGGAAGCUCUUUUCUUCGCUCGGUGGGAUUGAGAGUUGGACCAGGUUUAAGGAUGGUCGAGGCAGGCUGGGUAAGCCUAGGAUAUCUUUUUGAGAGGUUUGGUCGGAGAGAAAGCUAUGACUGAUUUCAAAGUGAAUUUUUCUUUUUCAGGAUUGACUGGGAAAGGCACAGAGCCAUCAUCUUCAUGGUGGCAUUCCUGGUAUUUCCAAUUAAAGGGAACUGGAUAAAUAUUAACUUACUUCCGAUGGUUAACUUCAUGUGCAGUGGAUCAGUUAGAGUAACUAUCGUGCCAAUGAUUUUGGCAGAAAUUUUUUGAUCGUUGUCUGCAUGCUCUAUAGGGUACGACUUCUUCAGGGGAUGUAAUCUAAUGCUUCAAGAAUGGGCGUUAGAAUAUUUUUAUCAGAGAAAUAUGCACAAUGGCAUCAGGGAGGCAAUAUGCAACCAAAUUCGUAGCCACACACUCAGGAUGACUAUAUGGGAUAUUCUAAACAAUGUAGAGCAGUGGCUCACCUUCUUGACCCACCUCACUAGCAACCUUAUCCAAUAGAGGCUACAAUGGAUCAACGUCUGGGCAAUGCUGAGGAGGCAUUAUUGUUACCUUCUAGAAUUAAUAGGAUUGGAAGGGAUCCAACUGUAUGCACAAUUGAGGGUUCUCCAACAGUUUGACAUGAUCUAAAAUGUUCCCUUGUAGUCAAAUAUGGCAUUGGCGGAGGGAGACUAUGAAGGGAGAAUCCCUAUCGAAAGACUCAGAACUUGAUCAACGGAUGGGGGAAAAUUUUCAGCUCAGGCAUGUGAGUCAAUCUAUACUAUACCCCAAAAUACUAUACAUGGUAUAUGUCGGGAGGGAUUUUGGCCCGACCAAGCUCUGAAUCACUUUAGGGAAUUGCAGACAUUUAUAGGGCAGAUCAGAUUCAGGACCAGCUACUAUACCUCAUGCCCAUAUCUACUGCUAUAUACCAACAAGUAAUCCCAGGAUUGGUGGACCAUCUUAUUCCUACAGUGGAUAACGAAUUCGAAGAAGAGAUGGAUGAAGAUCUAGAAGAAGACACGGAGGAAGAUCCGAUGGAUGAAAUAGAAGAACAAAAAUGAGAGUUGAUAGAAGAAAUAAAAGAGGAUCCAGAGGAAGAGGAGUAUGGACCGAUAGGAUUUGACGAUGGCGAAGAUGGAGAUCAACAAGGGUGGUAAUUAGAUGGGCCCCAGAAUACCACCUUGGGACUUAUUACGACCUGGAUGAUGAUGACGAUGAUCCCCCUUCCUGGCCUUAGGAUUCAUUUCCUGUCUUUGAUUUCUAAAAGGUCUUGCAUGACCUACUUUGAUGUUUGUAUUUUUAUUUUUAUUUCCCCUAAAAAGGUCUUGCAUGACCUAUGCUGAUAUUUCUAUGGCGAUAUGUCUAUCAUCAUGUAAUCUUAGUUCAAGAAUUUUUCUUUUUGUAACUCGGGGCUUCCAAUUUCCCCCUAAUAUUAAUGAAGUCACAUUCUUCCUGAAUUUGAAUAGUUUAAACUCUGGAUCAAUUAAUCAUACUUGCAUCGUAGUCCCACCUCUGUCAAAUAGAGGCUCCCUGUUAGAACACGUUUUGAAUAUCGCCAACUUGGCUUAUAUAUGUGUUACAUACUUAAUAAAUUUUUGAUAUCCCUCAAACUAACAUGUUUUCCCUCUUUCUUUUCUUUCUUUUUGUUUAUUAAUCCCUAAAAGAAAAAAAAUUUGAUUUGUGUCGACUGGCAAACUGGCUGAAUCCCAAUAUAACCUUCGAUCCAAAGAUAAAAUGACUAACAAGGAUAAGGAUGCGAUGAUACCAGUGGAUGAUGACGAAAGCUCUCAAAGGUUGUCAGACACACAGAACGAUGAGAAGAUUAAUAACAUGGCAUAAGAAAUUGAAGUCUUGAAAGAAGAACUACAUCAAAUACGAGAUCUGACAAAGCUUGCAGUGGCUAGCUUUCCGCUCAAUUCCAGGCUCCAAAUGUUAAAUUACCCUUGAUUGCCCCUGCUAACCCAACGAAUCCACCACAUGCUCAAGUCCCGUUUGCUUCUCAACCCACCACCGAGGCUUCACUCGAUUAUUUAUUUCCUGAUUAUUUAUUUUCUUCUCAUAAAUUCACCAUUCCAGUCCAUCCAACAAUACGGCACAUACCUGAGGUACAUGUCAUUUGUGAGAUACCUGUGCCACCGAUAUAUGCUACCAAAGAUCCUACUAUUACAACAUCUACAUCUGUUAAGUUACCAUAUGAGGUUGAUCGUUAUGCGGGAUUAUGAAAGGAUAUCCAAUCAAAUAAAAAAGGAUCGAUAGUAGCCCAGUGCAAUGCCUUGAGAGUACACUUUGGGCAUCACACGAUGCUUACAAUUUCGAGGGACCACAAGCUAACCUAUAAGCUGGUACCUGCUGUGAACACUGAAUAAUACAAUAAUAUAUGUGGAAGAACAACUGAUAAGCCAUAAGGUUUUAAAUUCUAAAAUAUUUUUGUAUCAUAAAUUUGGAAAUAUCAGCCUAAAAACAACUGUCUGAAGCUGAUAAAAUAAUGAUAAAUUUGGCUAUCUGUCUAAAAUGUCCGAAAGUCUCUAAAACAGACUGAAUAUGAGUUGAUGGGACAAGCCCAAUUAACUCCAACUCAUUACUGAACUGAAAGCAUGAAAGUAAAUAUAGUUUGUCCUUGAAAUAUGAGGACUCACCACUACUACGACUAAUAAUUUGAAAGGUCUAUGCGCGAUCCGGGAACUGAGCGUCCAAACCUAUAAUAUGACACAUUAUAGCACAAGAAAGGAGUAUGUGAUCAGUACUUUGAAUGUACUGGUAUGCUAAAUGAGGUAGCUGAUAUGCAUGGUUUCAUGUGCAUGAAUAAUAACUGACUGAAUAGCAUGAAAUACUGAAUAGAAUGCAUGAAAUUCGUAAAUACUGAAGAUGCGUGAAAUUUGUAACUACUGAGAAUGCGUGACCAAGCAUAAUCAUGUUCUGAUUAUAAUCUAUAAACUGAGAUAUUAAAAUCUAAUAACUAAAUUAUUGAUAUCUGUAUGCUAUGGUCAAGCAACUGAAACUAAAUUACUGAGUUGAUUACUGGACUGAGACUGUGGGAGCUAUCAUCUAACUGACAUGUCUAAUGAGCAAUUUAGGGUCCACCUGUGACCACAGUUGGAAGGGUGUCAAUACCGUGCCACGAGUACUAAUAUUGGUUGUGUGGAUCCACUAAAGUGUUGUCCCAAAGGACUAAGGGUUACCCUCAACUAGAAGGUACUCAUAUGAGAUGGACCCUCAAUUGGUAGGUUAACAUCUCAACCUACGCUGGCUACAUAGUUAUGGAACACGGGGGUUGCUACUAAAGGUCACACCCUCAACUGUCAGGUGAGCCCCCAUCCCUGGGUUCGCUCGAUGCUAAGUCCUACUCCCAACUGAACUGACUCGAAAUACUAAACUGUGCUAAGAUUAACUGAUUUUGAUAACUGGCUGAACUGAUAAUGCUCAUAACAUAUUUUGAAACUAUUUUGAAGAUACUGAGACUAAGUAAACAACUAUGUUUCGGGUAUUCAUAACCUCCAGGACUCGAUAGCAUUAAUAGUAAAAUAGUACUAAAACUAUAAGGACAUAGCAUGAAAACAUUUAUAUCAAAAGUCCAUUCUUGUAGGCAUUUCAUCAAACACGUGAUGUUCAUAGUUCAAGCUAAGCAUGGGAAUAGUUUAAAGCUUAUAGAAAUAGCAUGAUUUCAACAUCAACAUCACUAAGUAUGAUUUAAAUUUGUGAAUAUCAACACUAAAACAUGCGGGGUUUGAUAAAAUAAUAACAAUUUCAUGUAAACAUGGUAUAGAAUUACAAUUCAUGGGAGUUCAUGGUUAAAAUCACAAUUUAAAAUCAUAAUAACUUGUAAAGAUCAUAACUUUGAAUGUAAAAUUGGAUACUUGGGCUCCAUGGGUGAAAGGGAACCAUGAAUCAACACUUAACAUACCUGGGUUGAUGAAUUCAUAAGAAUUAAUGGUGAAUUCUUGAGUUUUGAUCUUGAACUUUGAAGGCUAGAGUUUUUGUUCUUGAAAGAGGGCUACUUUAAUUUGAGUAAUUUGUAAAAUAAUGAGAAAAUAAUGCUCUAUUGGGACUUAAAUCUCGUGUUUGGAUGGAUUUGGAGCUAUGGGAAAAAACCAAACAAUCCCUGAAAUUUAAAUCGCGAAAAUUGGAAAUCCCGAUUUUGACACUCGGCAUGAUGCGGUGCAAUUGCGUCGGGUCACUGGAAAGCUGACAAUCCCUAUUUUGCCCAAUGACGCGAUGCGGUGCCAUUGCGUUGCGCCUUUAGAAAUAGACAACUGCGAACUGGAACCUUGGCGUGACGUGACGCCAUCGCGGUGCCCCACUAGAAAAUGGAUAAUUGUGAAAUGGACCCUUGGCGUGACGCGGUGCCAAUCGUGGUGACACACUGGAAAAUAACGAGCGUGAUAUUGGCCGACACGACCUUAUCGCGGUGGGCUACUGUUUUGCACUAAAAGUGCCAUAACUUCUCACCCGAGUAUCGAAUUUAGGUAAAAUUGGUAUCGAUUGAAAGCUAAUUCAAUUUCCUAUAGCUUGGUGGGUCUUGAGAUGGAAAUUAAUUAGUAAAGUAAAAGAUAUGCUCAUUUGAAGUUGACUAAAGUAAUAUUCCUAUCGAAAAUUCAAUCGAUAAAGAAUAUUUUGAUUCGUCUAAUAGCUAGGAGCUAUUUGAGACCUUAAUAUACAUCAAACUAACUCAUAAAACUAUCAAAGAAUCAUAAUGUACUAUGCGUGAGCUUGAAACAUGGUACUAACAUUGGUUUGGAUUUUUUGGGGUAUUAUACCCAGCUCGAAAGUCUAAAGAGAGUAUUUAGAAACAUGUAAGUCACCAGAGGAACUGAAAGCUUGGACUAUGAUGUCUUAUGCAUUCAUCUAGACAUCGACAUAAUGGUCGAUACAAACCGCUAAAGUUUGAUAUGUUUGAUGGAAAGGGUGACCCGCAUGCACAUCUGAGGGCCUAUUGUGACAAGUUGGUCGGUGUAGGAAGAAAUGAGGAGUUGAGAAUAAAGCCGUUCAUUCGGAGCUUAUUAGGAGAAACUUUGACUUGGUACACUUGAUAAGACCCUUGUAAGUGGCAUGACUGGAGGGAAAUUGAUAAAGGCUUCAUGAGCCGCUUCAGGUUUAACACCGAGAUUACCCCAAAUAGGUUCUCAUUGACUAACUUAUAGAAGAAACCUUCAAAAUCAUUUCAAGAAUAUGCAUGACAUUAGAGGACCGAGGUUGCUAGGGUCCAACAUCCACUGGAUGAAAGCGAGCUCUCCAAGUAUUUUAUUCGAGCUCAAGAGGGUGUUUAUUUUGAUAAGAUGAUGUCAAUGAUUGGCCAAAAGUCUGCAAAAUUAGUCAAGAUGGGGGAUUUCAUAUAAGAAGACAUUAAGUGGGGAAAUAUACAGUCUAUGGUUGCACUGCAAGCUGGAAGUAAGGCCAUACAGUCUGGUUCCAUUGGUGGUAAUAAGAAUAAGAAAGAAGAUGUCUCAGCCAUCACACCAUACUACCAACCUGAAAAUUCUUCCUACCAUUACCCUAACAACCCUCAAACUAUUGCAUACGUUCCAAUGUACAAUACUCAACCACAUUACAAUCCACUUAAAGCUCCAGCAUAGCAAAAUUCACCAAGACCAUAUGCCCCUGUCCAAUCCCCAGAUCACUAAAAUAGACCAGCUUAUGCACCAAGAUCACGUCUAAAUCUCAAAGACAAAAAUACCAGCACCUACACACCAAUUGCUAAACCUUUGGCCCAAUUAUUUAAAAGAUUGAGGGUAGAAGGUUUGUUGAAUCCAGUCGAAGAAAAUAACCCUAACCCAAACUGUCAAACCUUUGAUGGUAACAAGCGAUGCGCUUAUCGCUCAAGAGUCCAGGGACAUGACACAGAAGAGUAUUAUGGUUUGAAGAAUCAAAUUGAGUCUCUAAUCAGGAAAGGAGUAAUCAAAUACACUGUUGCAGCUCCAAAUAAGAACAAUAACCCCUGCCAAAUCAUGAUAAUUGAUAAGUUAACAUGAUUACUCUGGAAGAAGAAUAUGACUUGGAAGAAGCUAUUAUGCAUGCGUGGAACACAAAGAAGUCACCACUAUAUCCGCAUCACAACCUUUUAUCACAGUUCAGUUGAGGGAGCCCAAAACUGUUCAAACUUACCUGCCAAGAGUCGUAGUGGCCACUAUAUACACUGGGAGGCUCGAUUAUGACACUAAAGCAGUCCCAUGGAUUAUCGAUCUGAGGUCAAGGGCAAAAUGAUAGAUGCCGCUGCAGCUCAGGGGAUGACCAGGCCAGAGAAGUGUUAUGCUCCAGAAGAUCUAAAUCGAGGAGUUCUCGAGAAAGAGUAGAACCCAAAGAAGGAUGUUACUGAUGCUGAAGUUGCAGAAUUUUUGAAGAAAAUGCAACCCGAGGAGUUUUCAGUUGAAGAACAGCUAAAGAAGACAAUGGCCCACAUAUCCAUUAUGUCUUUGCUUAUGAGUUUUGAAGCCCAUAAAAAUGCUUUGAUGGAGGUGUUAUGUGGGGUUAGAAUACUGAAAGAAACCACAAGAGAUACUUUGACUGCAAUAAUUGGAUGAAUGGUGGAAGCUAAUAAGGUCUCUUUUCAUGAUGAUGAGCUAUCGUCGGAAGGGGCUGCGCAUAACAAAGCACUUUAUAUCAUAGUCAGAUAUCUCAUGAAAAGAUUGUGAAUAAAGUUCUGGUUGAUGGUGGUUUGGGUUGUAACAUUUGUCCCUUCACCACUGUAAGGGAUUUAGGUGUAAACAUAAAAGAUAUAAGGGAGAGUCGGGUGAAGGUCAGAGCCUUUGAUGGAUUGCAUAGGGGUAUCAUCAGAGAAAUCUACCUGACAUUGCAUAUAGGACUAGCUAAAUUUCCCAUUUUAUUUCAAGUGAUGAAUGUAUCAUCUAGUUACAACCUGUUACUUGAAAGGCCAUAGGUCCACAUGGCAAGAGCCGUUCCUUCCACUCUUUAUCAAUGUGUAAGGUUUGAGUGGGGUCACACAGAAGUUACUGUCCAUGAGGAGCAUAGUCAUCCCAUCUAUUCUUUCAAUUCAGUUCCAGUCACCGAGGAGUUAGAUGGACCCCCUUUCCAUACUCUGGAGAUCAUGCAAGCUGUAAAUACCGAUGAGAAGAUGGACCAAGUUGAAGUAAAAUGUUAAAUGCUGCAUAAAUAGUUGCGUUAGAGAUGCUGAAAUAUAAGUAUCAACCCAAGAUAGGAUUACAACCAAAAGCUGAUGUUAUAAUUAAGCCAAUUCAGCUGAAAUAUCAGAGAGGUACUACAGGGCUUGGAUAUAAGACCGCUUCUGGAGGAGUCUGCUGUGAAGGAUCAGGAGUGACGAUGUUCGUGCCAGCCCAAGUCCUAAUUUCAAAAGAAGCAGUUAACCCAAAAGACGUUUAGGAGUCGGUCCAGCCGAGUCACGUGUUUCCCGUUCAGCCAAUUGCAUUUUAAGAGCAUAUUAACUAUCAUUAUUCAAGUUCAAAAUUUAGUACUUCUUAGUUUUGUGCUUAAUAAAUAAGAUAAGUGGUCAGGAGUCUCCUAAAAUUGGUCUUGAAUUCAUAUUUCUACAUGAACGAGUGUUGUCCUUUGGAGUUCCUAUUUUCCGCAAUUUGUAAGAUUCUAUGUUUGGGUCUAGAGCUCUUUAUUUUAUUUUUAGAAGCUACAAUUAUUUGUUUCUCUAUAUCCAUCCAUAUUAUGUCAAAUAUGUUGUAUAUAACUAAUAUGGAUUUGGAAUUUUCAUGGGUGAUAGAUUUUAAGGAGUCAUGUUGGUGGAGGUGCGUCGGUUGGGUUUUUGAUAAUGGCUUAGUUUUAUUAUUAUUUUUACAUAUAACUAGUAUAAAAUUAUAGAUUUUUUUCAAAGUGGGCAAUUAUUUUAGCAUAAAAUGAGCUAUUUACAUGAGAUGUCUAUUGAGAGCCAUUAUGGUAGCCUAAAAUCCAGUGUACAUUCGUAGUGUGUGCAUUGUUCCUUGUACGAUAAUAUAUAUUCAUGCUUUCUGCAAAAUGAUUGCCUAUUGUGAGUUAUAUUUUAAGUUUAUGUCUCAUGCUAUAUUUCUUGUUCCAUUCAUUUAAUGGAACUUAAAUCAUUUUUUUAAUCCUUAUCAUUUUUUGUUUCAUGUAAAUUAACUCGUCUUGACCCAAAGAUCGGGUCAACAACUACUAGGAUCGUCAAUGCUUGGAGUUCAUAUCUAGGAGUUAGCUCUUUCAAAGGAAUUUAGCAUAUAUCAUCCUCACUUUUCUUUAUGUUUCUUGUUGUUCGGAUUCACUCCAUUUAUUGUGUUAUUUGGAUAAGCAAAUUUCAUGUUGCUUUCAUCGAUAUUGGCUUAAGGUUUGAUUGGAUUUAUUUAGCUUAAAA